rnacentral:rRNA from 1 species
AUUGAACGCUGGCGGCAUGCCUUACACAUGCAAGUCGAACGGCAGCACGGGAGUAAUCCUGGUGGCGAGUGGCGAACGGGUGAGUAAUGUAUCGGAACGUGCCCAGUCGUGGGGGAUAACGAAGCGAAAGCUGUGCUAAUACCGCAUACGAUCUACGGAUGAAAGCGGGGGAUCGCAAGACCUCGCGCGAUUGGAGCGGCCGAUAUCAGAUUAGCUAGUUGGUGGAGUAAAAGCUUACCAAGGCGACGAUCUGUAGCUGGUCUGAGAGGACGACCAGCCACACUGGAACUGAGACACGGUCCAGACUCCUACGGGAGGCAGCAGUGGGGAAUUUUGGACAAUGGGCGCAAGCCUGAUCCAGCAAUGCCGCGUGCAGGAUGAAGGCCUUCGGGUUGUAAACUGCUUUUGUACGGAGCGAAAAGGCUCUCUCUAAUACGGGGGGCUCGUGACGGUACCGUAAGAAUAAGCACCGGCUAACUACGUGCCAGCCGCCGCUGUAA